rnacentral:rRNA from 1 species
UACGUAGGGUGCGAGCGUUGUCCGGAAUUACUGGGCGUAAAGAGCUCGUAGGCGGUGUGUCGCGUCGGCCCGUGAAAACCUGCAGCUUAACUGUGGGCUUGCGGUCGAUACGGGCAUCACUGGAGUUCGGCAGGGGAGACUGGAAUUCCUGGUGUAGCGGUGAAAUGCGCAGAUAUCAUGAGGAAGACCAGUGGCGAAGGCGGGCUCUGGACAGUUCCUGACACUGAGGCACGAAG